GCACAGGACAGAUGGACUUUCCUGAGCCACAGGAGUUUGCAACCCUGGUGAUGACUUGAGACCUUGUUUUCCACGGGUGCUGUUACACUGCUAUUGGAAGAACACCAGGAGAGGCUCAGCUUCUUAACAGACUGUCAGCGUAAGGCUUUCUCCUGGGCAUGAGACAGUGGCCAAGAUACAUACAGAGGCACAUUGGAAAUGCAGUAGAAAAUGGCUGCAGAUUUAAAACCAGAAGUUAAGAAGAGUGAACCCGAAUGUAUAGCAAGAGAGCUUCAGGCUGGACUGGCUUCCAGCAGAAGUGGGACUGGAAACCUUGGAUUCUGUUGCCUCUUCUCUGUGACGUGGGAAAACAUAGUGAACCCAGAGCACAUGGCUUUCCACCCGGACUGGUUGGUUACUGCUGCCCUAUUCUUUGAUGGAGAUUAAAAAACAAACAAACAUACCUGAUUGCAAUGGUGCUUUGAAACCCCUAGAUCCUGAACUCCUUUGGGGGAGAUCUGAGAGUGGGAGCAGGGCCCUGUGCAGCCAAUUCAGCCUCCCAAGCUGGCUAACACCUGGGAGAACCUUGGCAUUUACCCAGAGAAACAUCCUAAUGUGUACCGCAGCAGGGCGUGGUAAAGAACCUAGAAACAUGUCAGUCAGUAGAAGGUGUGUUGGCCCCCAGAAAGCCAAGCAUUUGUCUGAUGAAGCAUGGAGUGGAUUCUGGCUUAUAGCUUUCAUCACUCGGCUGGGUCCUUUGUCAGCUGAAAAGGUAGCAGCUGAGAGCAUUAGCAGAAACAGUCGAUGGGCUAAGCUCUCUGUGAGAGCUGCAGACUCAAUCAAGGAGGGCUGGGAGCCCAGGUGUUGGCUGUCAUGAGAAGUCCACUUGCGGCAGUGGCAGUGAUCUUCAUAGACACAGGCUCACUGUGCUCAGAGCCCCAUUUUCCCACUGACACUGGCCAAGAUGCAUCCUGACUGUGCGCAGACCCUGGAGAGAACGAACCGAUAGUGGCAACACUGGCACAGUGGCCAGCCAAGGAGGGAAAAGCAAAGCAAAGAGGACUGAGGCAAAGCAAAAAGAACUGAAGAUAUAAAGACACAUACCUCUACUGGGAAGAGCUCUUCAUAGAACAAGGACAAUGGCCAGCAAGGUGCCAUGCCUGAAAGUAUUCAAUCACCAAGUCCAGCUUCCUGGUCUCACCUAUGUCAUCGGAAGUGUGUAGAUUUUAGGCUAAAGGGCUACUUUGGUUCAAUAGGUGGAAACAAAAAUUCAUUAAGCAUCCUGGAAUUAUUGCUGAACUCAGGGAUGAGGGCAGCUUCGAUUUCUUCUCUGAACAUGGAAUUGUUUGCUGGAUUUUGCAGGCUUGACUCCUUGACUUCAGCAGUGCAGUUAUAGAAACAAGCCACCAGCAGUGGCCACACCUAAGCUGGGUUGCGCUUUCGAGGCAAGUGUCCCUGCCAAGGUGGGAAAACCUGAGACGCUCCCCGGUGGGUGCAAAUAUGUGGGAGAACAUUGAAUAAAAUUUCCCCUGGGGCGCCCCCCAGGAAGCAUGCUUCCUUCUCCACUCUCCAUUUGGCUCUCAUUUUCAGUUCCUCUGUGUCUAGGCAAAACCUUUAUGUUGUUUAAAAUGAAAUUAGAACCGAAAGGAAGCAGGGAGCAGUUGUGGCCAAAGAUGACACUGAAAAAAGGUGGAAAUUGGUGGCAGCACCAGGUUUUCCCUGCUGGAGUUCGCACCCCUAAAAUAAGCAGGCAGAAAGUUGGGAGGAAAGCAGAGCUGCAGGCCGCUCAGUCACUGGGUUCCACCAUGGGAUACCCAGUGCCGUGCUGACCCCAGAGCAGAUCCAGACUCUCCUCCCGACUCCCUCACCCCUUCCUCUCCUUUGGGGGUCCUCACAGCACCCCCUACCCCCAGCUCUUACCCAUGCAAUGCACAGGCCCUUCCCUAGUUCUGAAGGGAUUUAUGCCUUUUGGAGGAGCAGGUUUUAAAGCCAAAAGGGCUUUUUGGUGAUGUGCAAGAGCCCAAAGGCUGGCACCACGGCCUGGCCGCUGGGUGCAGGCCAGUGAGGCUCAUACUCGCUGGCCCCAGGGGUUGGGGGUUGGGCGUGGGGUGGGGGCUUUCCCUGGAUCCUAGGUGGACCAAAGUUAUCUCAGAGGAGUGAGGACUGGAGCGGGAUGCUCAUGCUUCCGUCCUCAAGGGGCAAGCGCUGCAGGGAGAGGCUCCCGGCUGACACCCUUUAGGAGGCCUGGAAUUGGGGCAGCUUUUCCUGACAGAGGGCUGUCUGGCUUGCUGAGCUGGGCUCUGCCAAAAAGCCAUCUCAGCCCUGGCUUUCAUGCUAACGUAAGGAAGUGAUUAUGACUGGAAACUUGAACUUGGAAUGUGGUCUCUCCAGGCCCAGGGUACUUCUAGUGUGCCUCGUUGGGUAAAACAGGCUUUUUCAGCUGCCCUGGCUGCCUUGCCAUGGAGCGGGAAGAGCCCGUAGCUGCGAGGUGUAAGCUGUGGGUCUGGCCUGGCCUGUCACCCUGAGUGUGAGGGGACAGCACCCUCAGCAUCUCUGGGCCUCACAGGAGGGUCUCAGCCCCUUUCUACCUCAAUAAAUUUUAUGUAAUCAAGUGUGUUAUUCAUUUGGUGUCUUUCUUUCCCCGUAGUUUGUGUAGAAAGGAAGUGGAGUUGUGGUAAAAAGAAACCCAGCGCAGCCAAAACACACAUACACAAAACCCCCGGGCAUCUCUCGGUUGAGUUUCGCUUGUCAGAAAGUGCCAGGAAAAGACAGCUUGAUUUUUCUUUAUGCAGCUUGUCUGCAAAUGGCACUUGAACUGAAAUAUUCCCUUUCAUCUUUGUGACAGAAAUAUGAUUCAGUAAUUCUUUGUGAAAAUGUAGAUGAUACGCUGCCGUAGUUAUAGUGAGUUAGGUUUAAGUGGCAAAUGCCUACUGAUAAAGACUUCAUUAAAGACACAAUAGCAGUGGGAGGUCAUUAUAGUAAUUACAGUCCCGGCUUUAUUGUUGGGGUCCAGUACUGAAUUGUAGCAGCACAUUAUCACUACAUAGUGUCUUGGUCUGAUGAGGCAGUGAUCCGGCUCAGUGCACUUAGACUAUUUCACUUGCCAUGGGAUCGGGACUUUCUGCAGUUGCCCUGGUUCCACUUUAUUUUCGUGUAGACUUUGUGCCUCAUUUAAAAUAUGUGAUAAAAUAAAUCGGUAAUCUCCUAAGGGUGCAUUCUGUUUCAUCUUUUUCUGGAUACAUAUUA
ensembl:lincRNA